AGAACGAACGCUGGCGGCAUGCCUAAUACAUGCAAGUCGAACGAACUCUUCGGAGUUAGUGGCGCACGGGUGCGUAACGCGUGGGAAUCUGCCCUUGGGUUCGGAAUAACAGUUGGAAACGACUGCUAAUACCGGAUGAUGACGAAAGUCCAAAGAUUUAUCGCCCAGGGAUGAGCCCGCGUAGGAUUAGCUAGUUGGUGAGGUAAAGGCUCACCAAGGCGACGAUCCUUAGCUGGUCUGAGAGGAUGAUCAGCCACACUGGGACUGAGACACGGCCCAGACUCCUACGGGAGCAGCAGUAGGGAAUAUGGACAAUGGGCGAAAGCCUGAUCCAGCAAUGCGCGUGAGUGAUGAAGCCUUAGGUUGUAAAGCUCUUUACCGAGAUGAUAAUGACAGUAUCGG
rnacentral:rRNA from 1 species